AACGAACGCUGGCGGCAGGCUUAACACAUGCAAGUCGAACGCCCCGCAAGGGGAGUGGCAGACGGGUGAGUAACGCGUGGGAAUCUACCCAUCUCUACGGAAUAACUCAGGGAAACUUGUGCUAAUACCGUAUACGCCCUUCGGGGGAAAGAUUUAUCGGAGAUGGAUGAGCCCGCGUUGGAUUAGCUAGUUGGUGGGGUAAAGGCCUACCAAGGCGACGAUCCAUAGCUGGUCUGAGAGGAUGAUCAGCCACAUUGGGACUGAGACACGGCCCAAACUCCUACGGGAGGCAGCAGAGGGGAAUAUUGGACAAUGGGCGCAAGCCUGAUCCAGCCAUGCCGCGUGAGUGAUGAAGGCCCUAGGGUUGUAAAGCUCUUUCACCGGUGAAGAUAAUGACGGUAACCGGAGAAGAAGCCCCGGCUAACUACGUGCCAGCCGCCGCAGUAACAC
rnacentral:rRNA from 1 species